ensembl:lncRNA
AAAGCAAUUUUUUUAAUUUUCACAAUUGCGCAUUCAUUCAUAAUUGUGUAGAUGAUUAUCCAGCCAAAUACAAAUUGUCCACUACUAUUUUUUAUAAGAAUGAUGUUUUUUGGUGCAGUCCACCAAAACAACCUUUUGCACUUUAUGUGGUAAAGGUGAAGUCAUAAAGAGGUAGGCCUAACACAGCCAGGAUAUAGCAAUGCCUAUAUUAAAGUCAGUGAAGUAAAACUCUAGUGUGCAUCCUUUGAUGCUUUGCCUCAGUGAGGUAACAGAAAUGUAUGUUUUAUUCGCGCUUUUACAGUACUGGAACUCUUGGCUAUACUGAAAUGCAGUUUUUCAUCUUGAUUGUUUUUGGCAUGUGUUGGAUGCAUAAUAUCCAUGCUUUUUCAUAUAUCCCAGAGAGACCUCCCUCUAACUUUUUGCCUACUCACAGCAAACCUUGCCUUGUUUGGGUGCUGGGGAACUCUUGUGAAUUAGUCCUCAUCAGUGAGGUCAGAAGUGCGAUUUGAGCUGUCUGUAUUUUCAUUAAAAGAGACACUCAGGAUUCUCAGUAGACAGACUUAGUUUGGGGUUUUAGUUCAUCUGUGCAGAGUCUAAAAUACUGGAAAUUUCCUGACUUUUUUUUCAAUGAACUGCAUUGUUUCAUGUGGGACCCGUGGCAAUUUUAAGGACUGCUGAGGAACUAAGCUGAUAAUGACAUCUAGAACUUUUUAAUCAUCCCUUUCCAAGGGCUUCAAAAAGAAUGUAAGUGACACCCGUUACCCAGCACGGUCACAGCACAGGAACCGAGAUGAGAACUCCAAACAAACAGCAGGGAAGGAGGAGAUGUGCCUACAUCUGUUUUAAAGGAGAGCAAUGUAAACAUUACACUGAAACCUUCCUGUUGAAUUUUUGGAACAGCAGCAAAGUGCAAGCUUAUAUGAGAAUAAGCAUGAAAAAGAGAACUUUCAGGCAGAUGACAAAGGAGGCACCGGGGGUCACAACCCUGCCGAAUGCUAUUCUCAGCGUACAGGAAGGGCUUUCUGAAAAUAAGAUGAAGACAAGGAGAAAAUCGUUCAAUGCCAUUAAUACUCUUCACUGCAAGAGAUCUAUGCUGUUUCGUCGCGAUCGUCUCCCAGUGAACGGAGAGUAAAAGAAAGGCAUUACUGUGUCGAGCGACGAGUUUCCUUUAGGCGACGUACGGAGGGGAAGGCUAAAGAAACCAUCGCAGCACACUUUGACCCAGACUAGGUGUAGGCUCAGCUAUUGCACCAUGAAUGGUUUAUCGUGGCCUGAUAGAACGUCCUAUUAUGUCAAUAGCGAAAAUCCUGAAGUAACAAACUAAGUUUACUGUAGGACCAGGCGCUGUAUACGAAAAAAAGUUUUACAUCCAAAAUGUCACAUGAUGAUUUACUACAGAAGAUUUUCCUUAAAGUUUCCUAGCAAUAAGCCCCGGUCCUACUCGGAACCACAAAAACUGUGGCUUGGCUAUACAUGCCGCUUCCCAGUGCCAGAGAUGGCCACUCCUAUGUCAUUUUAGCUAAUUAAAAACACAAGGAAAGUGAUUGAAUGGGUGAUUUUAUAACGCUCUGACUGUCCACACCACAGAUGCUAUCAGAAGUUUUAAUUCCAUAGCAAUUGGUUGCAAAUAUCUAGUGACUGAUGAUGCAAAUGUGCUAUGGUUUACUCUUGCCGUGGGCUUCGUUUAGGUACCUAACGCCAGUCUGUGGUACCAUACAGAGAGUCUUUGCAAAGCAGCUUUUGUAACCGGUCUCAGUUUUAAUGAAAACCAGAGUUCUUUCAGGAACUGAACAAUAAAAUUGUUAGGGGGUUGUUUAUCUAGCUAAAC